UCUCGCAUGGCGGAGUCUGAGGACGACGCCGCUUGGAGGAGGAAGCCCUUCGGGGUGUAAACUCCUGAACUGGGGACGAAAGCCCUGUGUAGGGGGAUGACGGUACCCAGGUAAUAGCGCCGGCCAACUCCGUGCCAGCAGCCGCGGUAAUACGGAGGGCGCGAGCGUUACCCGGGUUUACUGGGCGUAAAGGGCGUGUAGGCGGCCUGGGGCGUCCCAUGUGAAAGGCCACGGCUCAACCGUGGAGGAGCGUGGGAUACGCUCAGGCUAGAGGGUGGGAGAGGGUGGUGGAGUUCCCGGAGUAGCGGUGAAAUGCGCAGAUACCGGGAGGAACGCCGAUGGCGAAGGCAGCCACCUGGUCCACUUCUGACGCUGAGGCGCGAAA
rnacentral:rRNA from 1 species